GAGUGAGGAUGAGAUUAAGAGAGGGGAUGAGAGGGAAGGAUGAAAGGGGGUAGUCAGAAAAUGAAAACAAAAAUUUGAAAGUGAAAACAAUUUCACAUAGAUUUCAAUUUUUAGUUUUUGUUUUCACUUUUAUUACUCAUCUUUCUCAUCCUCCCCUCUCAUCUUCCCUCUUAAUCUCAUCUCUAUUCU
rnacentral:snoRNA from 1 species